rnacentral:rRNA from 1 species
UACGUGGAGUCCAAGCGUUAUCCGGAUUUACUGGGCGUAAAGCGUCUGUAGGUGUCCCGUUAAGUCUUCGGUGAAAUCUCCAGGCUCAACCUGGAAACUGUCGAGGAAACUGGCGGGAUCGAGUGCGGUAGAGGUAGAUGGAAUUCUUGGUGUAGAGGUAAAAUUCGUUGAUAUCAAGAAGAACACCAGUGGCGAAGGCGAUCUACUGGGCCGUUACUGACACUGAGAGACGAAAGCGUGGGGAGCGAACGGG